UACGGAGGUAGAGCACUGAAUGUCCUAGGGGGUAUUGCACCUACCGAAGACUAUCAAACUCCGAAUGCCGUCAUCUUAUACUUGGGAGUCAGACUGUGGGUGAUAAGAUUCAUAGUCGAAAGGGCAACAGCCCAGAUCGUCAGCUAAGGUCCCUAAAUGUAAGUUAAGUGGUAAAGGAUGUGGGAUUGCACAGACAACCAGGAUGUUGGCUUAGAAGCAGCCACUCAUUCAAAGAGUGCGUAAUAGCUCACUGGUCGAGUGAUCCUGCGCCGAAGAUUUCCGGGGCUAAAACUUACUACCGAAGCUACGGCAUCAUUAUGAUGGGUAGGGGAGCUUCCCAUACGGGUUGAAGCAUGACCGUAAGGACAUGUGGACAGUAUGGGAGUGAGAAUGUUGGCAUGAGUAGCGAGAUGUGGGUGAGAAUCCCACAGGCCGUAAACCCAAGGUUUCCAGGGGAAGGUUCGUCCGC
rnacentral:rRNA from 1 species